rnacentral:rRNA from 1 species
AAUCAACGUUGGCGGCGCGCUUAACACAUGCAAGUCGAACGAGAAAGUGGAGCAAUCCAUGAGUAAAGUGGCGUACGGGUGAGUAACACGUGGGUAUCCAUUCUUUGGUGGGGAAUAACUUUGGGAACCGAAGCUAAUACCGCAUAAGUCCGAGAGGAGAAAGGUGAAAUACGCCGAAGAGGGAGCCCGCGGCUGAUUAGCUAGUUGGUGAGGUAACGGCCCACCAAGGCGAAGAUCGGUAGCCGGCCUGAGAGGGCACACGGCCACACUGGCACUGAGACACGGGCCAGACUCCUACGGGAGGCAGCAGUGGGGAAUCUUGCACAAUGGGGAACCCGUNAUGCAGCGACGCCGCGUGAACGAUGAAGCCC